ACUGUGAGGUACCAUAUGGUCAUUAGGAGCACUACAGAGCAGAAAAAUAGUUCAGUUUAUCACUUUUGUCUUUUCGAGAGGAAAUUCCUAUCUCUGAGCUGAAUGCUGAUUAAGAACAAAAGAUAGCAGCUGUCGUUACAUGACGCACCGUUAUUUAGUUGGACUCCGGAGGACAGAAUCAUUUCUUGAUAGAUUUUUGUACCGUUAAAAAGGAUCUUCCAUUUUGACCCGUUGAAGUGGCAGGAUAUAUACAUCAGCAGAGUAUAUAAACAACAUAUAUAUGAUUUUUGGGGGGUUGAAUCUGAUGGCUGUUUACACAACCGGAUCUUUUCCCAUCAUCCCACUUUUCUGUUUGACACAAACCAGCAAGCGGCUUACGUCUCAUAUCUCAAACACACCGCAGACAGACAUAAAUCUACGGCUGGGUUCUGACAAGUCUUGUCUGGUGAUGCUUCAUGUGUCGAGAUCUUGUGGCAGGUGUUCUGCACAGGCAGUCAGAUGGACACGAUUCUACCAUUAAUGCACAAUAUGCUGUUCAUAAAGGAGACUUAUAAAGUGUGGCAUGUUGAGGCACCCCACCAGAGUUAAUCGACAGAGAGAUGAAGUGUGACAUCAUCGAUCAUCCAACAAUUAACAUGCGUGCUUCAUGUGUUUGCAUUGGGCUACAUGUCCUCUUGCCUCUGGGCUUUGAUGAUAUUGUUUAGGAAAAUAAAUCAUGUGCAAUAUCUCACACACUCCUCUAAAAAGAGCACUUAAUCUCAGAUUAAAUCUCACUAAAGCCGAAAUCAACAGCAGUCACUGCAGAAUGGAGGAGGCUGGUGUGAAACUGUGUCAAGUCAGUUCACAUCACACAUCGUUUCAAAGCAGCUUUACAGAAGAUCAGCAUUAACAGAAAAUGAAAGUGUAAUAUCUAUAAAGUCUUCGAGUCAUCAUUGUGUAGUUUGUUUACAUAUGAUUGUAAAUUGUGUAUACAAAUAAAUAUUUUAAUAAUAACUGUUUACACUUGAUUGCAAGUUGAGAGGCGAGAUUAAGACGUUGUGGCGUUAUGACGGUCUUGAUAACUCUCCAAACUGAAAUGGAAAUAUAAAUCUCUGGCCAAUAUUUAUAUCACAGUCUGCGUCUGGAGCUUAGAGAUGUCUUGGCUGUUUGUGCUGAAGAAUUGAAA